rnacentral:rRNA from 1 species
GAUGAACGCUAGCGGCAGGCUUAACACAUGCAAGUCGAGGGGUAUGCUUCUUCGGAAGCAGAGACCGGCGCACGGGUGCGUAACGCGUAUGCAAUCUACCUUUUACAGAGGGAUAGCCCAGAGAAAUUUGGAUUAAUACCUCAUAGUAUUAUAGAAUGGCAUCAUUUUAUAAUUAAAGUCACAACGGUAAAAGAUGAGCAUGCGUCCCAUUAGCUAGNGGUAAGGUAACGGCUUACCAAGGCUACGAUGGGUAGGGGUCCUGAGAGGGAGAUCCCCCACACUGGUACUGAGACACGGACCAGACUCCUACGGGAGGCAGCAGUGAGGAAUAUUGGACAAUGGGCGCAAGCCUGAUCCAGCCAUGCCGCGU